UUGAAGGGCGCUCUGCUCUACUCUUUAUUUCUUGUGCACCUCAGUUAUUUUGCCAGAGGGAGGAGCUACAGAAUCAAAUCAAGUGUUUCUGUUCAGCCCCUUUAUUACACAGAAUCAAAGGGAUUUUACAGUUUUUGGAGUGAAGCUUUAUGACGUGUAAAGCAGAAAUUUAACACUCAGCUGUUGUGCUUGAUCUAAAAACAAUCUUUAUCUGUCUCAAUGAUGUUCUUUCACCUCACAGUUUUUUCACUUCUUACAGAAAUUAUUUUUGGAAACACUAUAACACCCCUAUUUGCUGAAAAACAUGCACUGAAUGGAGAAGUGGUUACUCUUACCUGCAACUACACUGGAAGUAAUAUACAGAGUUUGCAAUGGUAUAUGCAGUAUCCCAACACUGCACCUGAAUAUCUCCUGCAAACUUUUGAGAAUGCGGCUCCAAUGCAGAAGGAACGUUAUCUUGCUAAAGCUCAUAAAGACAAAAAACAGCUGGACCUGGAGAUCUCCAAAACUGAAGAGACAGACUCUGUGAUUUACUACUGUGCACUGGUGCCCACAGUAACAGGAAACACCUCUACAUUGUACAAAAACACCCAGUUAGGAUAUGUCACACUUACAUUACGCUUUAAAAAUAAAGGCACUACACACAAUGCCACAAAAUAACCAUAAAAACUUUGAGUA